GUGGUUUUUAAUUAAGAGGCUACUCACCUAGACAAUUUUGUCUAUGACAAGUUAGUGGCAUACCCUUCUGUCGAUCUUACUCAUCUGACCAAUUAGAUGAUUGGAUUCAUUAGUUGCUAAGGUGCUUUGAUUUAGCCCAUGCUAGUUAGAUUGAUCAUAUGAUGAUUAAUUAGAUGAGACCAGACCUAAACCGUCCUAAUCGAUAUUAAGCCUUAUGGUCUUCCAUCAUUGUAGAAGUGCAG
rnacentral:lncRNA from 1 species